AUCCUAAUGACGAGUCCCAAAUAGGACGAAAUGAGCAUCCUAGAU
rnacentral:hammerhead_ribozyme from 1 species